rnacentral:rRNA from 1 species
CAGCAGCCGCGGGAAUACGUAGGUGGCAAGCGUUGUCCGGAAUUAUUGGGCGUAAAGCGCGCGCAGGUGGUCCUUUAAGUCUGAUGUGAAAGCCCACGGCUCAACCGUGGAGGGUCAUUGGAAACUGGGGGACUUGAGUACAGAAGAGGAAAGUGGAAUUCCACGUGUAGCGGUGAAAUGCGUAGAGAUGUGGAGGAAUACCAGUGGCGAAGGCGACUUUCUGGUCUGUAACUGACACUGAGGCGCGAAAGCGUGGGGAGCGAACAGGAUUAGAUACCCCAGUAGUCCCUGUCUCUUAUAC